CCUACGGGCGGCAGCAGUGGGGAAUAUUGCGCAAUGGGCGAAAGCCUGACGCAGCGACGCCGCGUGAGGGAUGAAGGUCUUCGGAUCGUAAACCUCUGUCAGCAGGGAAGAACGGUCACUGUGCUAAUCAGCAGUGAAUUGACGGUACCUGCAAAGGAAGCACCGGCUAACUCCUUGCCAGCAGCCGCGGUAAUACGGAGGGUGCGAGCGUUAAUCGGAAUUACUGGGCGUAAAGCGCGCGUAGGCGGUAUGUCAAGUCAAGGGUGAAAUCCCCGCGCUCAACGUGGGAACUGCAUUUGAAACUGGGAGACUGGAGGGUGUGAGAGGAUAGUGGAAUUCCAGGUGUAGGAGUGAAAUCCGUAGAUAUCUGGAGGAACAUCAGUGGCGAAGGCGACUAUCUGGCACAUAACUGACGCUGAGGAGCGAAAGCGUGGGUAGCAAACAGGAUUAGAUACCCGAGUAGUC
rnacentral:rRNA from 1 species